rnacentral:misc_RNA from 1 species
CAAGAAUUUUCUGUACAAUUCUAUUAUCAGAAAGUUCAGCACCAAGUAGCCUUACCUUGUUUGCUAGACUGAUAAGCCUAUCUGAGUACUCUUUGAUAGUCUCAGAUUCCUUCAUUCUUUGUAUCUCAAAUUCUCUCACCAGGUUUAGGACCUUCAUACCUCGAAUCCUCUCAUCUCCUUGAUACUCUUCCUUUAGAAAAUCCCAUAUUGCCUUGGCUGAGCCAAAUGUCAUAAUUCUAGAGAAGAUGGUGGGAGAUACUGCAGCAUAGAGGCUGGCCUUGGCCUUAGACUUCCUGGUCUUCUUCUCCUUGUGAUUUUUUAUCUGAGCCAAAGUAGGAUUGCCUGGUAAACGAGGAAUUUCAUAGUCCUCCUCCACUGCCUCCCAGAGAUCACAUGCAUCCAUGGACUCUUUAGUUCAAGCACCCUUGUAUCAUUGUGUUUAGCCUCAAGUGAAGUUCCUGUGUGGUUCAACUAUCAAAGCUCUGGGUCUUCAUUAGAAGUGCAACUGCCUCCUUAUUGGUUGAGUUAUGAAUGGAUGGCAUUUUCUGUAACUGGAGUUAUUACAUUCCAUCAUGAUCAGCUUUUUUCAGAUACUUGUACUGUUGUCUGUGAGUUGCAUGCCUACAAUUUGCCGAAACAAAGCUUGUAUCUAGGUUGCUCUACGUUGGAAAUCUCUCAAGAUUUAUGCAUUUCUUCUGAUCAACUUUGGGUUAACUUUGUGCCUCGUAGUUCCAUAACUUAUCUAGAUCAGUUGGAAGGAUGGAAUCAAAUCAGGGCAUCAUUUUUUUCUAACCAGUUAAAGGUGAAGAAUUGUGGAUUUCGUCUAAUAUAUAAUAAGGAUCACGAUGUUGAGGAAUUAAUGUCGUGCAACACGCCUUUUGAGAAUUUGGGUCUACCAGGAAUAACCAUUACAGAGGUUUAACCAUGCAAAAGUGCAAGGACACCAUCAUGGGCCUCUAUUGAGAGAAGACAAUUAGGAGACCCAAUUUUAUACUUCUUUUGUUACUUUUUUUUUUCUUUUGGGAUUCAGUUUCUCCUUGCAAAUGUUAUCUUGAUUUGCUGGCUGUUGUGCUCAACAUGUUUUUUACUCUUUUUUUUUGUGUGUUUUUAAAUAUAUAUACAUGGAUUGUGUCGUUGCUCAAAUUGAU